GGAUCCCAUCAGAACUCCGCAGUUAAGCAUGCUUGGGCGAGAGUAUUACUAGGAUGGGU
rnacentral:rRNA from 1 species